rnacentral:rRNA from 1 species
UUCGGUGAGGAAAAGGCACGCCGGCGGCCAAAUCAACUCUGUUUUUACACUGAAACUCUGAGAAAAAACACAAAUGAAUCAAAACUUUCAACAACGGAUCUCUUGGUUCUGGCAUCGAUGAAGAACGCAGCGAAAUGCGAUAAGUAAUGUGAAUUGCAGAAUUCAGUGAAUCAUCGAAUCUUUGAACGCACAUUGCGCCCUCUGGUAUUCCGGAGGGCAUGCCUGUUCGAGCGUUUUUUUCUUUUCUCAAGCAUUGCUUGGUGUUGGGGCACUGCUUCUAACGAAGCAGGCCCUGAAAUCUAGUGGCGAGCUCGCCAGGACCCCGAGCGCAGUAGUUAAACCCUCGCUCUGGAAGGCCCUGGCGGUGCCCUGCCGUUAAACCCCCAACUUCUGAAAAUUUGACCUCGGAUCAGGUAGGAAUACCCGC